ensembl:lncRNA
GGGACGGGGGGCAACUGGGAGGCAACUGGGAGGGACAGGGGGGCAACUGGGAGGACUGGGAGGCAACUGGGAGGGACAGGGGGGCAACUGGGAGUACUGGGAGGCAACUGGGAGGGAUUGGGGGGCGACUGGGAGGCAACUGGGAGGGACAGGUGGACAACUGGGAGUACUGGGAGGCAACUGGGAGGGACUGGGAGGGACAGGGGUGCAACUGGGGGCAACUGGGAGUACUGGGAGGCAACUGGGAGUACUGGGAGUACUGGGAGGCAACUGGGGGCAACUGGGAGUACUGGGAGGCAACUGGGACGGAUUGGGAGGGUCUGGGAGGGACUGGGAGGGACUGGGAGGGGACUGGGAUAUACUGGGAGGGACUGGGAGGCAACUGGGAAUGACUGGGUGUACGGGGAGGCAACUGGGAGGGACUGGGGGGGUACUGGGAUAUACUGGGAGGGACUGGGAGUACUGGGAGG